GUAAACCAAGGCAGUUCCUAAACCCACUGCUCGCCAGAGAACUACAAGUAAAAACUUAAAACUCAAAGGACUUGACGGCAUACCAUAUCACCCUAGAGGAGCCUGUCCUAUAAUCGAUAACCCACGCUACACCUCACCUGUUCUUGCACUAUGCUCAGCCUAUAUACCGCCGCCUUCAGCCCGCCUUACAAAAGCACAAACAGCGAGCAAAACAGCCACCACUAACACGCCAGGUCAAGGUGUAGCCAACGAACAGGAAGAGAUGGGCUACAUUUUCUAACUUAGACAACACCGACAGCAACAUGAAACACCCGCCUAAAGGUGGAUUUAGAAGUAAGCCAGGCAAGAUAUGC
rnacentral:rRNA from 1 species